UUAUGUUCUGGAUACUUGUGGUGUGCUCCUGUAAUCUAGCUACUCAGAGGCUUGGUUGGUUGGCCGGUUUGAGGAUGGGAGUCCUGGUAGUCGGUCUUCUAUGGCGAUCGGGUGUCCGUGCUAAGCUCGGCAUCAAUAUGGUGCUGGAGAGGGAGCUUAUCAGGACCAGGUUGUCUAAGGAGGGUCGCUUCAGCCCAGGGCGGAAACGCAGCAGGCAAAAGGCCCCGUGUCGAGCAGUAGUGGGAUCGCGCCUGUGAAUAGUUGUCAGUUAGCAGCCUGUUCGAUACAACUGAACACCAA